AUCUACACCCAUACCACCCUGGAUGCUCUCAAUCUUGUCUGAUCUUAAUGGCUAAGUAGGGUGGAGCCUGGUUACUACUUGGAGAAGAGAACACAUGACUUAGUCACGAUUGGUUCUUUGGGGGGCUGGAGAGAUG
rnacentral:rRNA from 1 species